AUGGACAACUGCAAGGCUGCACCCACACCUGUGGACACGAAGUCCAAACUUCCCUCCGCCGACGGGCCCAAGGUCGCCGAUGCCUAUGCCUACCGCAGUCUCGCCGGGGCUCUACAGUACCUCACCAUCACCCGCCCUGAGCUUGCGUACGCCGUGCAACAGCUGUGUCUUCACAUGCAUGACCCCCGGGUCUGUCAUGAAGGCCUGCUGAAGCGCGCACUUCGCUAUGUGCGCGGCACCACCGACUUGGGGCUCUGGAUCCAUCCUGCUGCCAAGAUCGAGCUUCGGGCCUUCACUGAUGCAGAUUGGGCUGGUUGCCCGGACAUGCGCUGCUCGACCUCGGGGUUUUGUGUCUACCUCGGCGACACUCUGGUCUCCUAG
rnacentral:rRNA from 1 species